rnacentral:rRNA from 1 species
AGGAGCUUGCUCCUUUGACGUUAGCGGCGGACGGGUGAGUAACACGUAGGUAACCUACCUAUAAGACUGGGAUAACUUCGGGAAACCGGAGCUAAUACCGGAUAAUAUUUCGAACCGCAUGGUUCGAUAGUGAAAGAUGGCUUUGCUAUCACUUAUAGAUGGACCUGCGCCGUAUUAGCUAGUUGGUAAGGU